AAUAGCACCUUCUUCCUCAUUUUCGUCGCCAAUCUUAUUCCCUCACCAAAAAACACGCACAAACACACACUGAGAAGGGUUUUGCUUUCUGUAAGUUCUGACAGUUAAUGAAAAUGGCGAAUUCGCUGCAAGCAUCGACUCGGCCGUGAAUUCUGGAAGUCGUACCUCUUGCGGUCGUUAUUCUCGUUGUUGCCCAUGUCCUUGCUUUGGUUUACUGGAUUUACAAGCUAGCAACUGAGAAGCAGCCAACGAGAAGGAAAACGCACUAACCGAGUUCAUCAUUUUUUAGUAAUAAAAAGGGGAUCCCUUUUUGAAAUUAUUCAAUGAUAUGGAUUCAUGCAAUGCCAUACUGAAGGAGGUUACCAAAGUUAUCAUAUACCUUUUUGUUGCUGUGGUUACCUUUUGAGCUCCAUCACUGUUUUUUAGAGGGUUCAUGUAGAAUUUGUUGAUAAAUGUCAACCACAUGAUGUCUUCCUCAUAAUUUUCUUAAUGAUUAUAACAGUCCUGUGCUUGUUAACUCUCGAUGUGUAAUUCUACGUAAAACCAUUCUUUCUGAAGGGAUACUGGAAAAUGAAGUCCCAAUUUUAGCUGCUCA